GGUAGCUCAAGUUCUAGAGAGAGAGAAGAGAAAAAAUCUUUUUAACACAAUGAAUUCCCAAUACAAUAGUUGUUACACAUUUCGAGUCAUAAAUAAUGUCUAUUUAUAGUUUUUGUAAGAAAAUGACUAUUGGAGGUGCAUUAACUGCAAAACUAGCCAUUCAACCACCCAAAGCUCUGCUUUAUCGAGUUGCAGAAACCUAGAUUCGGUUGUUCAAGUUAUUUAUUUCGGCUACCGAAAGUUUGAGUGCCAAAAAAUAGCUUUUGAAAAGUGACUUUCAAUUGCCGGAGUUCCCACUUUCGACUGUCAGAGUGCUCUCUUAAUAAAAGGACUUUUAACACUUAAAAACCAUCAUUUAAAUAGUGAACUUCGGCUUUCAAACUUUCCACUUUCGGCUGCCAAGGUGCUCUCUGAACAGAAAGUGUCAAAAGAGUACUUAGAUUUUGAAAAUGCAUAAUUUUUUGACUGAAACUCGAAUUUUCGAUCCGUUUGAACUGUUGGAACACUAAUUUGAUAAACUUUUCAAUGAAAACACUUUCAAAAACAAAUUUGCAUUUCUUAAAUGUGAAAUUUUCGUUUUACUCCCCCUUGGUUAAGAAAAAGUUAUAAGUAAAGACACUAAGAAAUUAAGAGUUUUAAAAAACUCAUAACUUUUUUAUUUGAACUAGGAUUUUUGAUCCAUUUGAACCAUUGGAAAACUAAUUCAAUGUAUUUUUCAACUAAAACACUUUCCAAAAUUAAUUUUGCAUUUUUGAAAAAUUUAUUUAAUUUUUUCUUGAUAAAGAAUUAGGUGAAAACCAAGUUAAAGAAGAUUUUCUUAGUACCACCUAGACUUGAGUUAACAUAAUUAAUUAAAUAAGAUUUAUAAGAUAUAAAAAUAAAUAAAAAUUACAUUGUAGGAUCCCAUAAAUGUUUGCUUCCUUAUCUUCCUCUUCCUUAACCUUGAUUUGAUGCAAUUUGACAAUUUUGAAUCUAGGGCCUAUAAACUCAAUACAAACACUUUCAAAGUAUAUUAAUAGCACACUAAUUGUUUAUUAUCAUCAAAAUAUGGGUUAAGACAUCUAGGUCUACUAAUCUCUCCCUUUUUUAUGAUGACAAAUAAUUAGUGGAUGAGAAAAAUUAAGCAUAAGCGAAGUGUGCAUUUUUCAGAAAUUCUCCCACUUAAUGUACUCUCCCUUUCAAAAAUAAUUUGUACCUUAAAAAAUAGAAUUUGAAGAGCACACAAAAGAGGCUUUGAGUCAAUGAAUGCAAUACCAUGAGUCCUACGUCAAUGAUGAAGCAAAGUUAUUACUAUAUCAGAAACAAUGCAGAAUAUGUAUUAAAGGAUUACCAAGAAACAUCAUAUAAUUAUACUUAAAACAUGUAUCCCACUAAAAGGCAUGUAAUCAUUUAUAUAUCAUAUUUAUAGCCUAAAAUUUGAAACUAUUCAUGCACUAGCUAUAUAUCUCCCCAUUUUGGCAUCAUCAAAAUACACUCUAAAAGGAAAGACAUAUAAAAAUUAUGGCAUCAUUCAAAAGCUUACCAUCGUGCCAAAAGCUUAAACUUUUAGCAUCAUUGUCAAUUCAGUAAGCAUAACAUUAUUAAGGUAACAAACUAGCUUAGUAUUAUAAAAACCAAUUGUGAAGAGAUAGAAACACAUGACAAUGAAUAAAGAUUAUAAGAACACUUCAUAUAAUAGCAAACUCAUAGGUGCAUUUCUAAGACAUAGCAUUUUAAGGAUAACUUCAGCUAGACAGUUUACAUUUGAGCACAAAAAGUAAUACCAUUAAAGUGGUUAUAUGGUGGCUAAGUAAAUGUACAUAAUUUACUUAAUUUGAAACUGAACAUGAGUAUAAUUGUGUUAUUGAGACACUCAAAACACAUAUAUAGUAUAUGCUAAAUCUAGAGGCAAUAUACUAAACAACUAUUCUCAAGAAUAGCCCAUAAAAAGCUAAAAAGACUACAAUACAAAUUAAAUAAUUUCAUUUGCAUAGGACUUGUAAAAUAAUCAUAGGGUCUAUUCAAAGCAACAAUAGAAUUUUAGCAACUAACCUUCAUAGAACAAUCAAGGAGAACAAUUUAAAUUAAUGAAAAAUGGUAUUGUGAUCAUAUGGCAGCCAAAAAUAGAAAACAAAUAUUUUAUUCAUAUGAACAGUAAAUAUAUACUCAAAAUCAUAAAGCAAGACCAUAAUAAUUUCAAAAAUCUUUUCUUUUUGAGCAAAAGAAACUUCUAACACAUAAAAAUUUUAGAAAUAUUGAGACAAAUAUUAAAACAUUAAAAAUACAAUAAUUGAACAAGAAUUUUCAAAAAGCAUAUAUACAUUCAAUCAUCACAAUUUCAAGCAUCAAAGUUAUCAAGCUUGCCUAAUUCUCUCUUAAUGAAAUUGAACCUAUCUUUACAUAAAGGUUUUGUAAAGAUAUCAGCCAAUUGGUUAUUUGUAUCAACAAACUCAAAAACAACAUCACCAUUCAAUACAUUAUCACGUAUAAAAUGAUGUCUAAUGUUUAUAUGCUUGGUUUUAGAAUGUUGUAUGGGGUUUUUGGCCAAAUUGAUUGUACUUGUGUUAUCACAAUUAAUAAGGAUGUGAUUAAGAGACAGUUUGAAGUCUCUCAAUUGUUACUUGAUCCAAAGUAUUUGGCUACAACAAAUACCCACAGCCACAUAUUCGGCUUCGACCAUGGAAAGUGCAACCAAGUUUUGUUUCUUGCUACACCAAGAAACUAAAGAGUGUCCUAGGAGUUGACAAGUAUCUGAGGUACUCUUCCUAUCAAGGAUGCUUCCAGCAAAGUCAGCAUCUGAGUAGGAACACAAAUCAAAUGAUGCAUUUCUAGGAUACUAUAGACCUAAAAACAAUGUACCAUUCAAGCAUUUGAGAAUACAUUUAACAGCAUGCAAAUAAGACUCUUUAGGACAUGAUUGAAAAUGUGCACAUAAACAUACGGAAACCAUAAUGUCUAGUCUACUAGCUGUGAGAUAUAAGAGACUACCAAUCAUACCUCUAUAGAGCUUUUCAUCAAUCGAUUUUCCUUUUUUAUCCUUGUCAAGUUUGAUGUUUGUGCUUAUUGGAGUUCUACUUGGCUUACUAUUCUCCAUCCCAAACCUCUUGAUCAAUUCUUUAGUGUGCUUGGCUUGGUUGAUGAAGAUGCCACUUGAUUUGAAGCCCAAGGAAGAGCUUGAGUUCUCCCAUCUUGCUCAUCUCGAACUCACUCUUCAUGGUAUUAGGGAACUCUUCACACAAACACUCAUUAGUAGCAUUAAAUAUAAUAUUAUCAAUAUAUAUUUAUACUACAAGGAUUUCAUUUACAUGAUUUUUAACAAAAAAAGUUGUAUCAACUUUUCCUUUUGAAAAACCAUUUUGCAAAAGAAAGUUACUAAGCUUUUCAUACCAAGCUCUAGGAGCUUAUUUCAAACCAUACAAAGCUUUAGUCAAUUUAAAAACAUGGUUUGGAAACUCAUGAUUUUCAAAAUCAGGAGAUUACUCAACAUAUACCCCCUCAUCAAUAAAACCAUUUAGAAAAGCACUUUUAACAUCCAUUUGGAAAAGCUUAAAAUUCAUGUAUAAUGCAUAUACAAGCAAGAUUCUAGUGGCUUCUAAUCUAGCUACGGGGGCAAAGAUUUUAUCAUAGUCAAUGCCCUCCUCUUGAUUAUAACCUUUGGCUACUAACCUUGCUUUAUUCCUAGUUAUGUUUACAUCCUCAUCUAAUUUGUUUCUAAACACCCAUUUGGUGCCUAUGGAUGGAUGGUCCUUUGGCCUAGGAACUAAGGUCCAAAUCUUAUUCUUUUCAAACUGAUUGAGCUCCUCUUGCAUUGCAAGUAUCCAACUCUCAUCAUUAAUGGCCUCAUCUAUGCUCCCAGGUUCUAUUUGAGAAAUGAAUGCAAGGUUAUUAUAUAUAUUUCUAAGAGAGGAUCUAGUUAUUACCCCUUUUAAUGUAUCACCAAUGGUUAGGUCUUUAGGAUGAUCCUUCUUGAAUGUCCAAUUUUUUGGUAGAUCUUGUUGAACUUCUUGAUGUAAAACUGGUUGACCUUGUUGCUCUUGAAGCACAACUUGAUCAACUCCCAAGUCCUUCAAGGGAUUUUCCAUGUAUUGAUCUUGAAUUCCACUAGAUUGAGGAUCUUCAAGAGUCAACACAUCAAGAUUACCUACAACAUCAUCAUCAAAAGAAAUAUCCUUUAUAGGACCAAAGGGGUUAGCUUCAUCAAAUACAACAUGCAUUGACUCCUCAAUAACUAAGGUUCUCUUAUUGAAGACUCUAUAUGCUUUACUAGAUGUAGAGUACCCCAAAAAGAUACCUUCAUUAGUUUUAGAGCUAAAUUUAUCUAAAUUAUCUUUGGUAUUCAAAAUGAAGCAUUUACAACCAAAAACUCUAAAAUAACCUAUUUUAGGUUUCUUGCCAUUCCAUAGCUCAUAAGGGGUUUUCUUCAAAAUAGAUCUAAUCAAAACUCUAUUUGAAAUAUAACAAGCCGUAUUAAUGGCUUCGACCCAAAAAUAAGUAGGAAAAUUAUUUUCAUUUAACAUAUUCCUCCCCAUGUCUAAAAGAGUUCUAUUUUUUUCUUUUAAUAACACCAUUUUGUUGGAGAGUCCUAGGAGAAAAAAAAUUAUGAGUGAUCCCUAGUGAGUUACAAAACUUAUCAAAUUUCUCAUUUUCAAAUUCUUUACCAUGAUCACUCAUAAUAGAAGAGAUUUGAAAACCCUUUUCUUUUUGAACCCUUUUUGAAAAUCUCUCAAAAAUAUCAAAACAUUCAUCCUUAUGAGCAAUGAAUGUAACCUAAGUAUACCUAGAGUAGUCAUCAACAAUCACAAAAGCAUAAUAUGCACUACCUAAGCUAGCUAAUCUAGUAGGACCAAAUAAAUCCAUAUGCAACAAUUGAAGGGGUCUAGAAGUAGAUACCUUAUUAAUAGAUUUAAAAGAACUCUUG
rnacentral:misc_RNA from 1 species